ncrna:unclassified sequences RAGATH-30 RNA
GUAAAAAUAAGAAUGGAAUAAUCGAAUAGACUCGUUAAAACGAGAACUGCCGUGUGGCAGGAA